UGGAUAGAUUAUUGUAUUCGACUGUAUUUACGGCGUGAAACAGGGGAUGACACUCUUUUUAAAUGGAAAGUGAAUCAAUUAACAUAAUAGACUCAU
rnacentral:pre_miRNA from 1 species